rnacentral:misc_RNA from 1 species
AAGUCGUAACAAGGUCUCCGUUGGUGAACCAGCGGAGGGAUCAUUACCGAGUUUGCUUUUCUAGCUCGAAACCCACUGUGAACAUACCUCUUCUUCGUUGCUUCGGCGGCGGUUCUCCUGGUCGUUUUGCUCUCUCUAGCCUCUAGAAGAUCUUAAUGACUAUCUUUAAAGGGAGUCCAACCGCCGGAGGGACGCAAACCUAAACUCUUUACCUUCUAAAGUAUUAUCUUAGUAGAUAUUUUUAAAUUAUCAAAACUUUCAGCAACGGAUCUCUUGGUUCUG